GCCCGGUAGCUCAGCCGGUAGAGCGUGGAAUUUUAAUCCAAAGGCCAAGGUUUCAAGUCCCUUAUCGGACU
rnacentral:tRNA from 1 species